rnacentral:rRNA from 1 species
CCUACGGGGGGCAGCAGUGAGGAAUAUUGGUCAAUGGCCGAGAGGCUGAACCAGCCAAGUCGCGUGAGGGAAGACGGCCCUACGGGUUGUAAACCUCUUUUGUCGGGGAGCAAAGCGAACCACGUGUGGUUCAUUGAGAGUACCCGAAGAAAAAGCAUCGGCUGACUCCGUGCCAGCAGCCGCGGUAAUACGGAGGAUGCGAGCGUUAUCCGGAUUUAUUGGGUUUAAAGGGUGCGCAGGCGGCGAGUUAAGUCAGCGGUAAAAUUUCGGGGCUCAACCCCGACGAGCCGUUGAAACUGGCUUGC